rnacentral:rRNA from 1 species
UACGUAGGGUGCGAGCGUUGUCCGGAAUUAUUGGGCGUAAAGAGCUCGUAGGCGGUCUGUCGCGUCGGUCGUGAAAACUUGGGGCUUAACCCUGAGCUUGCGGUCGAUACGGGCAUGACUGGAGUUCGGCAGGGGAGACUGGAAUUCCUGGUGUAGCGGUGAAAUGCGCAGAUAUCGGGAGGAACACCGGUGGCGAAGGCGGUUCUCUGGGCCUGUACUGACGCUGAGGAGCGAAAGCGUGGGGAGCGAACAG